UUGGUCAGUACAUGGGUGGUUCGUUGCCAAUGAAAACCCAGGUGCUGCUGGAUUCUUGUUAGUGAUUCAAGCAGCAGUCUUCCCUCUGAGUCAAGAGAAAACCAAUACCCCCAGAAAGGUUUUAAUAGGGGCUCCAUUGCAAAUUGCUCAGACAAGACAUGAAGUAGAGGUCCUGACCAUGUCUAGUCAUUAAAGAUCCCAUAGUGCUGUUUGCAGAGGUAAGAGCACGAGUCCUCAGCUACUUUCCAUUCCCUUCUGCCUAUGUCUGCCCUCCCUCACCCCCUAACAUUGAUGUAAUUGUGUGCUGUCUUAAGUGAUUUGGGACAGAUCUGCAUUUUAACGGAUAAAGCCUUGCAAGGGUAUUGUUCAUCACUUGCUAGCUUCCUACUCCAGCCUGCUAGGUUUUGGACAAUCUUUCAUGUGUGCAUGUGUACACAGGCAAUAUGCACACAGAUCAAGCAAGUCCUGUCCUGCAUUGCAUGGAUGCUGGGGAGGGAAGCUGAAUGCAGAAGUCUCAGCCCUAAGCAAUCUCUGUAACAGCAGGCACAGGAGCCUCUCAAUUUUCUGAGCCCAUGCCUGUUCAGCCAAGCAAGUACUAAAUGUCCUGCUGAGCUCUGACUCAGAAAGGUACCAGGGUCCAUGCCUGGCCACUUGUCUCUAGGGGAAGCUGGACUGUGAGAGGGAAGAGAGUACAGCCAGCUGCCACCUCGGCACGUGCUGGGGUCUGCUGGCACCACAGAGUGCCUCCUGGCCUUGCUGAGCUCGGCUUCCCUGUGGCCAUACCCUCUGACCAGGCCUGAAGCCACCUCUUCUGCCCAGGCAGUUGCACAGCAUGGUCUUUGUGAAGGAGAUGCCACUCACUGCUGUGGGCUCAGGAGUCCGGGGUUACAUCCCCGUGGGAUUGCGGUGGCCAGAUGAAGCGCCUCACCUCACCUCGCCCCACACUGCCGUGCGUGUGAGUGCUGAGAAAGCGGCAGGGCUACGUGCCUGCCCGCCCGGCAGCGAGGCUCGUUUCCUCUGUCCCACCGCACAGGUUUCCCCUGCCUGAGAGAUACGGCCUUCUGAAGGGCGUCUGCAGUGCCGUGCGGCGUCCCGCAGGGAGGGAGGGGAGGGCUCGUGCAGACCACAGAGAGAGACCGUGGUGUUCAAGCCAGGAGGCACAUGUGUAUGACAGUAAACACCUAUUUUGCAACAAGGCUGGUUAUGCUCAGUAAAAGAGGAGAAGCUGGUCUUCUGCAGGCGGCUGAGGGGGAUGCAAAAAUAUGAUCUGACCUUGAAUAAACUGCAUCCCGUUUCCCUGUAGUGCCUUUUGACCCCGCACUGGGAUGUCAGUAUGGUGUGGCAUUUGCUCUUAGUCCUCACACUAUUCUUGGCCUAGAUGUGGAAACUGAAUUCAAAUGUAAAAGGGGCUUUUUUUGAUUUCCUCUCCACCAAAAAAAAAAAAAAAAAAAAAAAAAAAAAAAGAUGUCUUUAUAUAGAUAUUCUCUGCAUCUGGCUACCUCACCACAAGUUACAGGAAAUUGGUUGGCUGCCACUUAACACAGCUGUUAACACUUUGGACUAGCAGUAGCCAUUGUGCUGAUGCUGGUUUAAAUGAAAAGGAUGAGGUAUGCGAUGGUUAGAAUAACAACUGUCUCAUGUUCCACAAGGAAUAUAGACAACACUGGGAUAUGAGCCCCGCGUGCCUUACCCCGCUGCUACAAACAUUACUGGGGAUGUAUAAUUCUGCUUCACAGCUCUACCCAGCAUCAAAGAGAUUCCAACACAUUAAUAAAAUGUGUCAUAACAACCUGAUGAUACAGGAUCGUUAUAUAAACAUGACUAAUAAUUAUGGCAGUGUCCGGGGACCAAACAAAAUCAAGACUGCACUCUGUACAAGGCAGCAGAGUCAGUCCCAGAGAGUUUUGAAUGUAAACAGAAAAGAUGGAUGAAGGCUGGGCGGGAAGGGAGUCAGUCCUGAUUGACCAGCUGAGGGAAAAAAAAGAAAAAGCGGGGAGAGCUCUAAGCACCACUGCUGAUAUGGACUGAGAUCUCUGCAGAGUUCUUAGAAGCAAAUAAUGAGAGAAAUUGUUCUUGUGGGAAAGCUCAGCUUCUCAGGCCUAGGCUAAUCACAGCACGAUCCAUAUAUCCUUUGGUAUGAUUGUCGACAGAUUUCUUUACAAGUGAUUGUUGACUUGAUUUCAUCAAUACUGAUGACAUUUUGGAAGAUCUGAUUGUAGAAAAUUACCUUCAGUCAGAUGAUUAGGAAUUAAUUCAGUUCUCUUAAUAAGAUUCUUGAUAUAAAAAAGGAAAAAUUUGACAAAGUUAGGGACCUAAUGAUUGAAGCCAUCUGGAUGCAGCAGUUCAUACUCCAACACGCAGUCUGAUGUGCUUAAUGUACAUAAGCCAUGGGUGCAAGCAAAAGAGACAAGGCAACAGUGCAGAAAAAGGCAAUACUCCUACUACAAAUAACCAGCUCAAGUACAGAAAAUAAGGAAUGACUAGAGAGUCCAUGUGAAGUGAAAAGUGGGACCCAGCAGCAAGGGAAAGUACAUCUUAGAGGUCAGAAGUAUAUACAUAGAAAGAAAAUUAUCAAAAAUCAAGCCGUUUUAGAUCUUGCAAAGGAAAUAAAAACAGUAACUUAACGUUCUUCAGUUAUAUAAAUAAAAAGAGAACAAAAAAAGAAGAAGUGAGGAAGCUAUUGACUGAGAGAUUGCAGCUACAGUAAGCGGUCUGUCUUUACCUCAGCUUUCAGUGAGGAUGCAAACUAUGGUGCCAAAAACAUGGUGACUAACGGGAGUGGAAGGAAAGUGGUAUUGGGAUGGUCACAUCUGGGGUGAAAUCAGAGCUCAAAGAAUUAAUGGCCUUCAAACUGGGGGAACCAGGCACUCUCCAUCUUCGCCUCUGAAAGAAUUUGCCUGUAAAAUUGCAGUUCUGCAGAACAGAUCCAUCAACUACUCCGUGCUUGGCGGGGGCCAUGUGAUUGAGGAACAGCAAGUGAAGUUCCUCUAUUUGAGAAAGGCAAAAAAGCAGUCCAGGUAACCACAGGUCUGUUAAUCUGAUCUCAGCAUCUGAACUGAAGCUUUAUGUGUUAUCGGUGAGCUAAAGAUAGGAGUAAAUGGAAAAUGAAAUGAAAAGGUCAAUAGGAAUUUACCAAAGUUAAAUCACUCCAGAUUAAUAACUUCUUCCCAUGACAGUGACUGGUUUUCCAGACUAAAGAAAUGCAGUCGAUCUCAUUUGUCUGGACUUCCGGAAGGCACUUGAUAGUGUGCUCUAGAGGGAAUUUAGUUAAAAUGGAGAAAAUGGAAGAGAGUGUGAAAUCGUGUAGGAGUCUCAGGCAUAAUCGGACAGACUGCAUCCAGACUGGGAAGAACUGGGACACUAAUGUGAAUUCCUUCUGUAUCUGCAGGGUCAGAUCUGACUGAGGACCCAGGCAGUCCAUGCAGGCUUUUGCCAUCACAUUCACUGAACUAUGCCACAGCCUGCUCUGCAUGAACACCUCCUGGCGCUGGUGUGGCUUGCAGUGGUGGUAUGUGCUGGACGUGCAUCAGGCAGGGUCAGUGGUCCCACUGAGAAGGAGUCACAGUGGGAGCCAUAGGGGCAGCUGUCUUGGAUGCUGAGGGAUGGUAGGAAAAGAUGUGUGGCUGGUGCUGCCCUCUCCUUUUCCCUGGUGUUUCUGAAGCAGGAGAACAAGGACAUUUUGGUGGAAUCUCACGUUUCUGGAACAUGUGGAGGGGAAAGGGCUGCACCAUCUUCUGCAAGAGGAAGCAGGCAUUUGGGGGGGAGCUUACAGUAAGCAGGCUACACAUGUCCAAGGGAGGUGGUACAGAUGCAGAAAGGAUUUUAUACCUAGAAACUGUAAUAACCCAAACUUCUAUGAGUUCACCACUAACUGGUUAGAUGCUGGUGAAUUAUCUGUUUGCAUCCUUUGCUUUUCAGUGUAGCUGCUCAACAUGUUGGAUCGUGCCUUAGUCCUGUCAACACCCCUGUGAGUGCACAGCUGAUCAAGCUCAAAGCUAAGCUGAGAUACCGAAUAUGUUUGGUGUCAUAGCCAAAAUACCAGUGCUCAGUUCAUUCCCCCCUCUGAUCACCACCCAGAUAUCUCAUGCGAUUCCCUAGCCAGAUAACUGUAUACUGGAAGCAUGUUCCUGGCUUAGCUGGGACUGUCUGUCUGUCUGAAGCUGGCAAUUUUUAAAGGGAGCAAACACACAAGUAAAUAACAGAGAAAUAAUAAUAAUGCAGCUUCUGGGGAGAAGAGACUGAGAGGGAAAUAGGGCGAAAGGCAUAGGAGCAUGGACUUGUGGAAGUGCUGCUGAAGGAAGCCAGUGUUUGCUGUGUGCUACUGCCUGGAAACCACAGAUCUCCAGCCCUAGGAGGCUGAAUGCUGUGGACCAGCCUUCCUGUAAGAACAUGAAAAUCCAUGAGGAGGGUGACCAGAGGUUGAAACGCUUCGUGUGGACUGGCUGGAAAGGGGACUGCUUCAGAGCACACUCCAGCACUGUGUGUCUGUCAUUUUAAACAACUCUCUGGAUUUUAUUGCAGGCUUUCAAGAUACAGGACAUAGCUGAACAACAGAUUACUCAAGUACUGUGUGAGGGAAUCUGGGAUCUUCCCACAUACCAAUAUGUGGUGCCUUCACACUGCUUUGGAUCCUUGGACCUCUCCACGGAGCUGGCACCUGAGAGUCCCAGCAGACCCUGAGCGAGGGGGCAGCCCCGCCAGCUCAUCCCCAUCCACGCACGUGCCUCCAGCCCCGUGCCCCUUCGGGGAACCCCGGCAGAUCUUGCAGCGUCUCUCUGGGAAGUGGAUUUAGCACCUGCACGCACUUCCCAGCCUCUGAUUAAGCAGUGCCAUCGAGUGAGCGCCUUCUGACAGUAAGAUCUGCCAUCUGUACAGAGGGCAAGCCUGCCAGCAGCAAUCUCUCAAACUGGGGAACCCCCAGUACCCAAAGGGGCCACGCUAGAGGCCAGGCUCUGUCUCGCAUGCAGAAUUAACAGCAGUGCUCAUCAGGCAAGAAAGGAGAAAACCAGAAAUAAGUCACCUGUUUCACUAACCAGAGCCAGAGCAGAUUAAAGAUUGCUUCUUUCAAAGAGUACAUGUGAACAAACUACACCAAACAUUGUUCAUAAACUGUCGGCAAAUGCAUGUCAAUUAAUUCAUAACCUGCUAGCAGACGUUUUCUGAGCAGAAAAUGAGGCCACGUUCAUGAAAUAAAUUAUUCACUACAAAUGAUUCACCAGCCUUAUAAAUUACCUAAUCCUUGAUCUCUUUUUCCAAACAGCAGAUGAAUUUCUCUGGAUUGUUUCUAGUGUCUGCCCAAGAAACUUAAUUCUUUUCCAGUUUUUUAUCCCUCAUUUGGUUUUUAUUACAUUUUUCUUGCCUGCUAUCUAGUACUAAUGAGAACUGUUUCCUUCCUGACUUAUUCCCUUCCAGCAAAGGCCUUGUUAAUUGUUGUCUUCUGUUAGCUAAAGUGACUCUCUGGGUCCUGGGUAUUGCACAGUCUAUGCUGGUUCACCUCAACCCUCUUCAUUUGCAUUCUCAGUCCUCAGGGUCUCAGCAGAGACUCUCUGUGUGCCACCAAGCAGUAUGUUUUCAGCCACUUGCACACCCAUCUAUACCAUGUCGCUUAUUUUCCCCCUUCUCAAAUGCCACAAAACCACCCUUUUACCAUUUCCCAUUCACUCGGUGCGUCGACAACUGACUCAGUCCUUUGGUAUAUAUUGGCUGUUACUGAAGGGCUGUCACCACUCGCAAAGCAUCGGGUCACGGAUCAGAGCUUCAGGGUCUGGUGUUUGCACAGGGUAAGAGCAGCUGCAGGGAUGAGCAUGGGGCCCUUGCCAUGCCUGAGCUGACAGCCUGAGGUAGUGAGGUACACUGGAUGAAUUACUGGUGUCAGUUGUGGUGAUGCCUGGGCAUGAACUAGGUUCCUACAAAAAUGUGCUCAGAGUGGUGUUGGAAAGCUUGCCUGUGACCGUCCUCGAGCUCAGCAGAGCACAGACCUGAGGAUGCCAUUUGUGCAGUGUGUCUUUCUUCACCCCACACUGCCUGUCCGAACUGGGAGGUGCUUUUUAAGACCAAGACAUAUUCUACUAUGGCUGGCUGCAGCAACGGCUAAAUGAUGUUUCCCAACUCAGACAUAAUGGAUUGCUGCUUCUCCCAGUAUGAGAAAAGAAGUCCCCAUGGGAAGGGCUGUUUUGUUGCCUCAGGUAGCACCGAGCAGCAUCAGGUUGGAAGAGGCAUGGCUGCCCUGGACAGCCUGGGCAGGGAGGCAGAGAAGGAACCAUCUCUUCGGGGACCUGGCAGGCUCCAAUGUGCUCGACUGAGUCACCUCACCUUCACUGAACCUCACUUACUGGCACAGGCAAUCCACUUCCUGCAUCUGAAAGAUAAUUUUAUACUUUAAGCUGGAGCUCAAAACUCUCAAGGCCAACUUGUGUUGACUUGAACAUCCCAAGAUACCAGUGUCUCUGCUGUUAUUUCAAGUAGGCAGCAGCUGCCCCUGCUUGCUCUUAUCAUCAUCAAUGGAAAAAGGACACCUCCUCUUACAAAUCCCACUGCAAACUGAGACCACGAAGCCACAGGUGGCAGCAAGCAUGCCUUUCAGCACAGACGCAUAUUGACCCAACUGGCAGGCUGCCGGCCCUGCCUGCCCAGGACAUCUUCUCCUGAGGCCUCGGACAGCUUCCUCCUGGCUGCUGCCGUGCAGGGAGCAUGGAUGGUGGCCAAAACACUGAAUCCCUUCAUUCCAUCAGCUCCAUUUUCUGCACUGCAGGAGGUUUGAGGCUGUCAGUGAGCAGAGAUGUGGAACUGAAGCACCGAGGCCCAGCCUCAUGUUCCCUUCCGAGCCCUACCAAAAUGAGUGGCACGCACCCGCUGAAAAUCUGCCCUCGCUGCGGUUCUUAGUCACUCACUUUCUCCUUUUUUCACCUUCUCUCAGAAACUGAGACAGACUGAAGUUGCCCACACAUUAUGGGAAAAACAUUAGGUUUUACAAGCCAAGAAAGGAGAGUCAGGGGGAACAGGUGCAAGGUGGAGGAGGAAGAGAUAAAUACGUUACUCUGAGCCUGUUUUUUCUUCUUCUUUUUUUUUUAUCUACAAUACCAUGAUUUAGCACAUGAUGCUUAGUAUAUCAGCAUUACUUUUGCCUCUUCAUUAUUUUGUGGUCAGUGCCCAUGCUAGUGAUGGCCACAACAUCCGAACAGACCUAUGAUGAAAUAAAAAUUAAAAGGAGAGAAAAGUGAUGAGAGAAAAGUCUUUUAUCAUGGUCAGAUUUCCACACUGACUUACAGAAAUAGUGCAAACCUUGCUUUUUUUAGUAUGCAUGAAUGAAGCUGGGCUUUUCUGUGAGGACUUGAGACAGACCAGCAGCUGGGACCUCACUGGAAAGAUGUUGCUGAAGUGAGAAAUGGAAGGUGGCUGUGGAAGAGCAUCAAGCAUGUCUCUGAAAGGCACUGGACAGGAGAAGGGAAGCAGAAAUUCCCAGAACUUCCCCUCCUGUCAGGCACCUGGCUAUGGAGAAAGUGAUCUUGUGCUUUGGCACCAGGUGUGGGGCACCACAGAAGUGAAGAGGAAAAAAUCACCAGCAAAAUUCAUCAACUUUUCCCUCUUAGUGAAGGACAGCCUAAAACCAGAAAGAGAAUAAGUAAGAUAAUGAUUUCUUCUGAACUAGUAAGAGAUUUAGGAAAUAACCUCAAGACCUUGUUUUCAACAUUUCCAUCCGCACCAAGAGCCCAACAAGCAACAAACACAGUGCAAUGUCUGUAACUGCAGAGAAGAGGCAGAAAUACACACAUGAAGUGGUAUGAAAAAGUGGCAUGAAAAGCAACUGGUGCAUUUGAAUGCAUAAUGUCUUGAGUUUUCAUAGGAUGAAGGAACCAUGUUUGGAGGUAAUGUUUAAGUAGCUUCACUGGAGUAAAUCUGGGAGAUAGAAUUGCUUGAAGGGAAUAUAAAGACCAUUAGAGAAGUGUUGUUCAUCCUCUUAAUACAAUGUGUGUCACAGAGUCAUACUGCAUCAGGUUUUUCAACUCAGUUCUCCUUUUAGGUCAACGGGGAAUCCAUCUGAAGAACCAGGUGGUAAAACAGGGCAAUGAGUGCAGACAGUGCCUCAAUAGGGAAGUAAAUACAGCACUGCUGUACUGGGACUUUACCGUGGAAUUACCAACCAAAUUGUUAGCAACCCUGGAAAAUCUCCAGUGAACUGCACCAACCUGUUUCUCAGCUCCCCAUUUCUAGCUGUAGCUUUUACCACCAGCUCUUCCAAGUAAGUCAGAGAUUCCUGUAUUUAUUUGGUUUACUCCACUCAAAGAAAAGGAGUGUCACUUCUCUGCCUAGCUUUAGCAGGGAAGUACUGAACUGCAAUGAGAGCAUCAACACUAUUGAAAGAAAUUUGUUUUGUUUUGUUUGUUUGUUUGUUUUCUGAAAUAUCAAGUGUAGUCUUAAAGAUUGACUUUGAUUGUAUAGAUAAGCCUAAAUAGCUCAGUGCAGAAAGGCAUCCAUUUGCACCUUCUUCCCAAAGCUGGCCUGCUCAACAGGCUGCUAGCAGGCCUGACCUUUGAAGGAUGGUAACUCCCAUGGGUAAAGCAGUGGCCAAAAACAUUCAUGAUCUUCAUGAUCUCAGGCAAGCCACUUGCUUUGCAAUGGUCUUAAUUUUCUCUUGUUCUUUGUUGUAUCUAUUCAUGCUGUGAACUUGCUGGGCAGCUACUGUGCAUCCACUGGGCAUAACCAGGCCUGAUCUCCACUGCCUGAAUACUCAUUAGCUUUUUGGUUCAGGGCAGCAUGCAUUAUUUAAGCAAAUUUCUCAGUCACCCCUGCUUAUUGCACAUUGUUUCGGUUCACAGGACUGUCUCAGCACAUGCAAACUGGUUUCUUUUCAGAGGAAGCUAACCUGGAAGCCGUGCCUCAGGUGCGGGCCAAAUGUGCCCUAAUCCCUGCUGGGUCAGGAAAGGCUGAACCCAGGACGAGUCCCAUAGACAGCUUUGAACCACAUGCAUGAUAGGGAUGCUUGGUCCUGAAAACCAGACCCAAUUUAGUUCAAAGUAAAGCCCCCAACUGCACAUUGUGGAUAUGUGACUCAGCACCAAAUGCUCUAUCUACUGAUACACUCCUACUGUACCAAAUUACUUGCUAGUAUAAACAGCAACAGAUGUCUCCAGACACUACUGUGUCUUGCCAACACAGCAAAAGCAGAUCCAAUGUUAAAAGGAGAGAGACUUUUUUUGAAGCAUGUGAAAUUUAAGUCCUUUAGUGAAUGGUCCUGUAUUUUUCACCCCAAGUCCCAAUUUUUGAAUGCUGAAAUGGGCAGUAGCAAUAAGCAGCUGUCUGUUAUAUUGAGUUGAAAGGCCAUUGCUGUUAGUAUAAGUGCUUUUUAACAAAGAAAAGGGGAAUCAACUUAUUUUCUUUUAUGUAUAAAAGAAAAUAAUUCUAUUUGUCUACACAGUUAAAUUAUUUUGGGGGGAAAGCAGACACAGUUCAGUCUGGUCACCACUAUAUCUGAAACACAGUGAAACACAGUGAAACACAGUGAUUGUGCUGGGGCAGGAAGAACUUUUGUUCUUCCAAGAUUCUCAUCCUGGAUGCUUGCUGACCUUUGCAGAGGCCAAAGACUGUAUCAACCCUCACUUUCAUCUCCUCCCAGUCCCACCUGCAAACACAAGCAACCACAGCCUUGGUUUUUGACUUGCAGAAGGCAACACUCACCUUGAAUGUGCUAUGGCCAGUGACAGAGGUGGCAGGGAGAGGGAGCAGGGCCUCUGGGGCUGACUCUCGCCUGCUUGUGUCCCCAUGUAGUCGUCUGCACCUGUGCAGAAGGGUCUCCAGUUUCAGGGGCAGGGUCUGGCACUCGUCUAACAUCCACUUGCGCAGCUGUACGUGACUCAGCAAAGCCCUGGCAAUGCUCUGGAAGCUGAUUCUCCCCUUUCCUUAGGAAAAUAAAGAGCAGCGAGUGGAAGUGUGGGUGCUUAUGUGGUGUUUAUUUGACUCCAAAUUUAUUUUGAGUAUGUUGGCCAAGAAAUCAGGCUGCAAGGUCUGAGAGUUUUCUAUUUUUAUUUUUAUUUUUUGGUGAUUUUUACCAUAGUUCAUGAUCACAGCUGGGUAAAGUGUUGGAUAAAACACCACCGUUGAAUACUUGCUGAAAUGAGGAAUAGAGAACCUUACUUAUACAUAUAUUUUUUUCUGUUUCUAAUAAGAAAAGUCUGACAAAGAGUUUAGGAGCAGAGGCCUUUUGGGGACAUAGAGCUAGAAGGAAACUUGUGGGUCACUACAGCUAGUACUGUGGGGCUGUGUUAACCCCAUGAUGGGCACAGAGCAUCUUCUCUGCAUCUCCUCAUCUGAUGGUAUCAGCAGCCACAGAACAGCCAACAGGAACCAAGCAAAGAGAGCCUCCCUGAGGGAUGGAGGAUUUGGUAUGUGAGAGGAUCACAGUGACCUUCAGAAGUUGUCAUGUCCCACAUUAUAGAGACAGGCUCGUAGUAACCCAGUUUUCCCCACUGAUCUGUCUGGAGGACAUUCCUGAUGAAAUGAAGGGGCAGCAUUCUUUCAGGGCAUAUGACCUGACAGGUGUUUCUAGAAGAUUUCACACACCUUUCUUUGACACAGUCCUCAUGCUUGAAAUGGUCUCUCUCUCAAUAACUCAUUAGAGAGAGACCAAAACAACAAAAAGAAGGACUGGUUUUGGACAUAAGUUAGUUUGUAGACAAAAUGUUGUGUCAUUCUUUUCUAAAUUCAUUAGCCUAUGAUAGUUUCAUAUCAGAUGAUAUGAAGAGCAGGUUUACUGUCACGCUGAGGGCACCAUCCUACUGUUUUCUUCAAGAUCUGUGCAGACUGAAGUGAGCCCUGAGCACAGAGGUGAUUGCUCACCAUGUGGCUACAGCUGACAAAUGGUGCCAGCUCUGUUCUGUGGUAAACUUGCUUCUCCCUAAAACAUGCCUGGAGAACUUCCUCUUGAGGCACAUGUUUUCAUAGAAUCAUCUAGGUUGGAAAAGACCUUCAAGAUCACAAAGUCCAACCAUCAGGCUGACCUACAGAGUCCCAUCACUAAACCAUGUCUCUUUGUGCCACCUCCACAUGUCUCUUAAAUACCUCUAGGUAUGGGGACUUGUCUGGGCAGCCUAUUCUAUGGUUGACCACCCUCUCUAUGAUGAAAUUCUUCCUAAUAUCCGAUCUAAACCUCCCUUAGUGCAACUUGGGAAUGUUUCGUUGCAUUUCAUAACCUCUUCGUUCUGGAAAUUUCUUGGUAGGUAAAAGGGCCAAAGGACUUUGUAUGAGAAAUCACAUCCAGAUACCUGGAAUUUAACAGUCACUGAGGAGAAACAUCAUCUUUGAAUGACAAAAUGCAUUUCCUCAGAUACAAUACUCAGAAUUCAUCCAUAAGCAAAUGCUCAUUUGGAAGAGGACUUUGGAAGAUGAUUUAGAGCUUAGGGGACCCUAAAUUCCUGAACCCACUGAGGGUCAAUCUCACUGAGCUUAAACUGUAUUUGCAAAUUUGUAGCCUCCUUGCUGUUCAGCCUCAGGAAUAGGCAUCUAUUUAUUGGAGAAUGAAUGGUCCAUGUGCCUUUGUGAGAAAGGAGGGAGAAGAUGCUACAGCACCCCAUACUUUCCUCGCAUUUGCACUGGCUACCACAGUACAGAUUCCUAUGUUAUAUGAUGCAUCUUUAGAUGCAUGUUUCUUCACCUGCCUCAUUCAGAUCAGUGCUGCCUGUGACCCUGAGGAAGGUUUGUUUUUAAUUUGGAUCUCCCACCAUGAUGACCUUUUCUUCAAAGCAUCUGAAGACAUAUUUUUGCUCUAUCCCAUUUCCAGUUCUCAUUAAUAGUUCUUAACUUACAAAGCAUCUUUCAUCCUUUUAAAACUCUUUUGGCAGCAGGUCACAGAAAUUGAGGCAAUGGACUAGGAGAGAGGGGAAACAUACAUUCUUGAUUUGUUUUAUGAAUUGUGUUGGGUUUAGAAUAGGUACAGACAUUUAGGUCAAAUUGCUCGCUAUACUACCAAACACAUAAAUGCCUCCCAGGUUAUCCUGAAGUUGCAGUUCCUCAGCUUUGAUGUAAAGUUUCAAUUCUAGUGGAUGGGUUUAUUUGACAACAAUUAUUUGUCAGCUUUUUCCAGGUAUCCUGUCUUCUGCCCUGAGAUAGAGGAGGACGAAUCAUGCAAUGAGAUAGAAGAGAAAAGAAAACCCAAAGCAAUACCAGACAUUUCUGUUUUCUGAGGAACAGAGUGAAUAACAUUCUCUUUUGACUUCAGAAACUGUUCUUGUUUGGUUAAGCAAAGGUUACAAGAGACCCAAAUCUCUUUAUCAGGGGGUUCCAGAAAUCCAUUAUGAACAAUAGUGAUCUGUAAGAAGAUACAGCGAGUCUAAAGAGGUAGAAACUCUGUCCUUUUAUUGCUAAAGCUAGCCUUAUAUUCCAACUUGCAAUAGCGUCGUGUUCUAAUAUAAACCACAUGAGAUCUGCAGCUGGAAUUUUAGAUCAGUGCUUUGAAGACUAUGAAAAGCUUCCCAUUGCUAUUUAAAAUAUUUACACUGACUGUCACUGAGCACAACAGACCUUGUGUUCCCGAGGAACAUCAGUUCACGCAGACCUAUGUAGCCAGAAAAUACAGCACAAAGCCAGUGCGGUGAGGGGCUGGAGCAGUCUGCUCUGAAGCUGGGAGCAGAACUGCAUGCAGCUGAGCUGCAUUUGGCCAAGGAUGAAGUGAGAGUAAAGGUCCUUGGUGUUACGAAGUGGGUUGAAUUCAUGUCCCUAAACCUGAAGCAUGAGUGAGGAUCAUUCAUGGCCUGCUCAUGUUGGAGUCUCCAACAGGGACUUGAAACAAUGAAAGGGAAUUAUCUGAGGCCAGAUCUACACCUCUGGGGCCUUAUUUCUGACCAUCCGGCUAUCUGAAGCACAUGUAUUCCCUAAUACAAAGGGCUGGAAGAUAGCCAUUCAGGGUGACCACUGUGGCAAGGAACACGUUGUUCAUACUGCAGUGUUGCAAUUGUGCUCCAGGGCUUGCUCCCCUUCUGCAGCAUCACAGACCAUAAAAUUAUCUGCUACAACUUUUUUUUUUUGAGAAAAAGCACUUCCACAGUUCAUGUGGUGAAGAGGCACUGCUCUGAACGGAUGUUUUCAAACAUCUAAAAUGAGUGUUCCUGAAAUUGUUUUCCAGUAUUCGAGCAGUUCUUUGUAGAUCCUUGUGUUGAAUAUUGGUCAUAUCAUCUGAUUACUGUGGUUAAAGAUUCUAUAUUUUGUGGUUAUAAUUGGGGCAGGCUCGGUAGCUAUGUACUGUGGAUUCUGUGGUUAAACUCCGCUAUCUGUGUUGCUAUCUUUGUUGGUAGUAAUUUUUACUUUAGCACUUGCUCCUUUCCUACCACCCACCUACUCUUUUACCCACCCCAAAUGGUACUGACAUGCCUUCAGAGACACAUAACUCUUGCUUGAUAUGUUCCUUUUUUCCUUUCACCUUUCUGCUGAGGCAGUGUGGGUGCCAUAGCCAGGGCUGGGGUGUCCCUGCUCAGGUUGGGUGUUGAUGGCAGCUGCACAGAGCUGUAUCUUCGCUCCCUCUUGUGAGCUGAGUGCUAUCCAUGCACUUCAGCUGCUAAAGAGGUACCUCUGCAAAGCCCAUCCCACACUGGACAUAUUUCCGAUGCAUAGAGUUUGGCAAUGACUGGUGAGCUAAAUGAAGUGAUCAUCAGGUGAAAUCCUGACCCAGGUUGUUCAGAGAUUACACUGAGUUGGCACAGUGACAGAGCUAGACUUUUACAAAGAUGUUAGAUGUGAGUAUAGGCUCAUAUGCCUUUUUAAAAUAAAUGUUGACCGUCUAGUCAACAGUUUCAUCUCCAUUACCAGGCAGGCAAAGUAUAGUUCUAAACUGAAUUGUUGUUUUCUCAGAUUUAGCAUUUUAAGGCUCAUUAUCCUGAAAGCUCUUGUGUUUGUGCCGUGUGAAUCUGCUGAUGUUGAUAAACCAUCUCUUGGCUCCCAAAAGGAACUUUGUUCCAUCAAGGGUUUUCCCAGGGAAAAGACUCUCAGAUCGUUGUUUUACCAGCUAUCUCUAACAAGUUGGAGAUGAAUAUUUAUAACUCACAACUGUCUUGAAUUCCUCACCUCACCAGGGUACUUGUCAGAACUAAGUCUUUCUAAAUCUUCUCCCAUUUCAAAACCUGGUGGUUGCCUUACCAUUAUUAAAAUGCAGGUUCACUUGGUGCACAGAUCAGUUGCUAAGGUGUCAGAAACCCACUUGGUCUGUAAGUGCUACAAAACCAAGUAAAACUUUGAUUCCAGUGUGAGGCUAUUUGUUCAGAUACAUUACUAGUGCCUAGGUGGUGGUUGACAUAACAAGUGCUCACAUAAUAUUUCAGGUGCAUGUAGCUAAAUUGCAAAAGAGCCUGGGGACUCAGUGGCAGAUGUCAAGUGUAGGACUUUGGAAAAUGCAUGACUUGAUGUGAAUGUUAACACUCUCUACUACUUUGCUGCCAGUCUGUAAUGCUCACAGAAAUGUCAGAGACAUUUGGCAAACAAAAAAAUGUUGUCAAAUCUACCAUAUCAUUUGACCAUACUCUCUUAUUCAUCCCCUUGCCUUCAUUCAUCCUUUAGAGAUUUAAUAUGCUGAGAAGGCAACAUUAAUUGAAUUGAAAGGAUACUUUAAAAAUGAUUCAAAUAUAUUGAGGGAAAACUUUAGGUAGACAGGUCUCAUUCUGCUGGAGCCUGGCUAAGAACCAGGAAGACUCUAUUCAUAAUUUUACCACUGAAUUUAAAUAAUUAAGAGAGCCCCCACACAGUUUUUGUACCCACUGAACUACAGCCAGUUUUUGAAGGCAAAAAAAAAAUCUUUAAAAGUUGUAGCUUUGCUUACUAAAAUCCAGAGACUGUAAGUCUGGGGAAGAGGCUGGAGAGGUUUGCAGAGGGUCCAGCACAGCGCAUCCUCAGUUCUGUUGUAUGUGCUGCCACACAGGCAUCAAAAUCGUCACAGCAAGGGGUGGCCAAGUGCCUGGUUUCUUAUUUUGUGGCAUCCUGGGGUUAGGAAAGGGGAAGGGUGAGCAGAACAUGCUUUGUUUUCAUCAUCAUCUUGUUUGUGCCUGGCAAAUGAAUUGCAAGUUUUGGAUAAAACACACCUGAUGAGCAUUUGAUCUUCUGGAUCCUCAGAAGUUGCUGCUAGUCAGUUCCUCCAUUUGGUGACAAGGUGUGUUUCUACAAGUGCAACCUGUUUCUGUGUGUUGGCAUUCAGCUUCGCCAGGCAGCAAUGGAGUGCCUUUAAUUGGUGAUUUGCAUUUAAGACGGGGAUUUGCAAUGUAAGGAGUAUCUUCAGAGGUAGAAAGUGGAUGGAGUCCAAUGCCUGCUGUCUGGGCCACUGUCCUCUGCCACAUCAAAGCCUUCACCUCAGUACUUUUAUUCUCUUAUGCUGACAUCUCAGUUCAGCAAUUGCACUUUGUUGCUGCUCUUCAUAAGUCAAACAAUGCACCUACUAUGUUUUUGCAAAAGAUAGGAUAAUUAUCUCAACUGCCAGGUGCGAACCAUGAAUUUUCCUAGGCCCAGUUGCCAUACAGGUAAAACAGCCAAAGUCAUUUAAGGCUUUUGCUGUCUCACUGCCAAACUUCAGCUUCCCAGCUCUUGGCAUGGAGCUCCAACUUGGCAAAACACUUAUGCACACACUUAACUUCAAAAUCACGAGCCACAGCAGUCAGUGUUGAACAGUUGCCUUGCUAUCCUAAGUACCAACACUAACAGGCAUUCUUGAGUAAAACCAAACUAAGUAUGAGCACUUAUAUAGGGUAGCCCUUCCACACGCCUUUCCUUUUGUGCACAGGGAACUGAAGCACAGGGAGGAUGAGGCUGUGCAAAGCCUGUAAGCACAGGCAUGUGGACAGGUGCACCUGAGGUAAAUGUAAAUGCGAUGGAAGGUCUUGCUGCAGCAGCUGGCAGUGUGUUUUGGCCACUCUGCCCUGCCUUUCAGGCCUGUUUGGCCACCACAGCUUCAGUGCUAUCAGCUCACUGGAUGCCCUGAGCCACCCCGGUGACUGCAGCAUAGGUGUCCUGUCCUAGCCCAUGGCCAUACAGGAGUGCUCAUGCCAAAGGAAGAAAUUCAGCCCUGGUACCCAUGAACCAUGCUUCUGGUAGAGCCAUGGGGUGCUGGCCUAGGAAAUACAGGAAUGUUUUCUGAUAGCAUUAUUUUUGUUUUUACCAGAUAAGUGAAGUGCUUUUCCAAGUUGAAGCACUGUACUUCUCAAUCACUUUAUUUAAUACUAAGGAAAUCAUUGCUCUGUUAAUAAGUUAUCUGUAGUUCAGAUCAUCACAUGUGGUUUUGUGGAAAUAUUCACACAGCACACUAUAGAUCAUGGCUUUUAAGUUAGGUUGCAGCCAGGCUACUGACAGUCCCUGCAAAGCAGCAGCCUUGUGCAGAAGCUGUUGUUGGCCACCCAGACAGGGCAGGAGACCAUGACCCAGCCCCUGAGAUGGCCACCGAUGGGUGCUGCCAUGACCCACCGUGUUCUUUCCCUGCUGACAUUUGCCAGACUCAUGAGCCCAGCAAUGUUUUCUGAGCCAUUUGAGGUUCCUGGUGCCUGCUCAGCUCCUUGACUCCCCUGGCUGUCUGUCGUGCUCCUGCUCUCCUGCCUACUUCAAGCCAUGACCACAGUUCCUGCCUGCCCUCCUUCUUGUUUCCUCAUCCCAACAGAGACCCCCUGGUACCUCAGAGUUUUCCAGGAAAAACAGAUGCAAACUGCUGCCUAUAAAUCUGCUCUAUGAUGUUAUCACAAGGAUGAUAAAGCCUAGCAAGCAGCUCUCAGUGGCUGAGUACAAGUAUACUCUGCGGCAGCCAAGGCACAGAGCUAGGGACAGUUGCUGGCCAACAAGUUUAUUCUUCAGCCAUUUCUACAGGUGCUGCCUGCCACAUCCUCAGGAUGCAUUCACUUCUAAAAGAUGCCAUAUGAUUUAAGAAGGGUCACGGUGCUGAAUUAUUGAAAAAUUGGUUUAAAUGCCUCAAUAAAUGCCUGUGAAAUGGCAACAAACUGCAGCAGCUGGUAGCUUGUCAGGCCAACAAAAACAAGCUGAGUGAUAGCACACCAGUAUUCUUAAAUUAAUCUCCUCAGUCCCUGUAACUUUGGAAGAAGCGGUGAUAGAUGGGAUGGUGCAAGGACUAACUUUUGUCCCAGUUCUCAAGCAUUUACAAUUGCAUUCAAAAAGAAAAACACAAAGAAAAAGUUGCUUUACCACCAAACUAUUUUUGAAAUAUGAGACUGAACGCUGAAGCCAGAUUGUCUGUAUUUAUUUUAGAACAUUUAAAAUAGUGUUGAGUUAUAGACAAUAGUCCAGAAAAGAGUUUUGUCCUUACACUAUUUAGUAAAAAGCGAUAAUUUAUUCACACUUCAAGCUAGAAUAUAUGCUUUAAAUGACCUCUACUCAGGACAACACUGAAACUCAUCAAUAGCUGGAAAUGUGUGAGAAAUAAACAUGCACUAAAUGUUUCCCUGAACCUCCAUGGAUUUUCCUCUUCUGCUUUUGUUGGAUCCAUGAACAAUCCCGCUACUGACAAAAUAGACCAAGUAUUUGAGACAAGUCCCCAUAAGCAAAAUCCAAAGUGGGGCUUCCUUUAUUUCAUGAUCCCACUCCACACUGUAUCAAGACACACUUGUGUUUUGUUUUAUUUCUUUCCCCUGUCCAUCUUCAGAUUUGGCAUUUACACUUGAAGCACGUGAUACUUAAACAGCCAGCAACUGCUCACAAAUAUCUCUCUGGUCUGGGAGUGAUUGAAACUUACUCUGACAACAUAUUCAACAUCAAAAGCAACAGCCAUACACGACAGGGCUGUGGGAUCAACAGGGUGAGUGCUAGAAAUAUCAUAAGUCUUUGAACAGACAAACAAAUGUUCUCCAUCUCUUCAAACUGUAAAUGGGUUUUGGAAAAGAGGGAGCAUAUAUAUAUAUAUUAAUACACUUUCACUGUGGUUCUCUUUUGGCUACAUGCAAAGUUGAGAAAUUUAUUAUUUAUUUAAGGUAAGAAAAUACUUCCAUGAUUCUCCAAAUGUUGUUUUUUCAAAAAGGCAUACACAGGAAAUUUCUCCUCCCCGUCACCUAUACAAACAUGAGACAAGAAAACAUAAGCACGAUUUUAACAAGCCCCUGGGAAAACUUUAAAUAAAGCUGAGACGAAGCCAGGUGGACCAGAAAAAAAGUGCUUAUGCUGGAUGCUUAGCUAAGAGCCAAAAGAAAACAAAGUCAUUUCCUUCAUGAGUUGAUGACUCAGAGGACUGGCAAUGACAUGGAGGACAUCACGUACAGAAGUACUGUUGCUACAGAUGAAGUGGUGAAUAAUAUUCUUAAAGCAAAACUUUCACAGCAAGUUCAUUGGCUGGCAUUCCCCCAAGAAUCAACAGAGGAUGCGGCGGGAUGGUGAGCGGCUUGCUUCCCAGAUGGCUGCCUGUUUGCUCCCCCAGAGUGCCUGCACAGCAUCCAGCCAAGAGCUAGUGAGGACGGGCAACCCAUGAAACACUAGCAAUGUGCAAAUACAGUACUAUGGAGAAACUCAAAUAGGUGUUCUCAGUGUUAUUCUUCCUGAAUAGACACAGGAUUUCAUCUGCUAAUGUUGUCAAUGCAAGUCCCAGGUACCACUGAGUGUAGACUGGCCUGUUUAUUCUUCAGUGUUCUCCAAGCACCAUCUAUCCUCUCCUAUAUUGCUACAAACACUCCACAGGGCUGUCAUUUCUUACAUAGCUGGAAUCUUCCUUCAAUUAAAACACACCAUUCAAGGUCACUGAGGUGAUUCUUCCACUUCCACUUGUAUUAAUGUAGUUGCAAUGACUGCAACUACAGCACAGCACUGCACUGCAGCAGACAUACUGGAUUAGUACCUUGGUUUGGGAAUGCAUGUAAGAAACAGAACCAAUCCAGAGCAACUAUUUGCUUGUUAUUACCUUCUCAUUCUCUGCCACGUAGAAACUUGCUGCACUAAAGUUUUGGCUCACUGUGUUCAAUAGCAACUGAAGAACCUAAAAAGUGUUUAAAGAAAUUUUUUUUGAAGGACUAUGUGCAUUAUAUCCACUUUGGUUUCCACAGAAUUUCGUAACAAUGAUUUCCACGAAUAAUUUUUCAAGAAGAAAUACUUCCUCAUUAUAUUUUUUUUUCUAAAUACACUUUCAUUAGUCACUGGACAUCCCCAUGCUCCUGUGUUAUAAGGAAUAAUCACUCCUCCAUCACUAUCUUCAGGCAUCCUUUUAUCUUCAUACAUCAUGAUAUUUUCUGUAUUCUGAGUUGAUCCCUGCUGUAAUAAGCAGCAAGCUGAACUUAUUGGAAUAUGUGUUGCAUGUUCAUGAGUUCCUACAAAUGUGUUGCCUCAGUUGUUGAAUUUAUGCAGAGAAUCACAGAGUCACAGACUGCCCAAGGUUGGAAGGGACCUCUGAAG